CAACGAGUUGGUUAAUUUACAAUCCUA
rnacentral:tRNA from 1 species